GGCUCAGGAUGAACGCUGGCGGCGUGCCUUAAGCAUGCAAGUCGAACGGAGAUUGUGUCUAGCACAAAGUUAAUUACCUCUUGUUCCCUUGUUAUGCGCAAAGCACAAAAGUCAGAUAUUGACUAAUUUUUUGGCGUAUAACGAGUGGAACAAUGAUUCUAAUUAAUUUCGUGCUAGGCAUGAAACCAGUGGCGGACGGGUGAGUAUAAGCAAGGUACGUACCCUUUACUGUGACAUAGCUCGUCGAAAGACGGGGUAAUAUCGCAUGAUCCCUUACGGGCAAAGUGCUUAACCGCACGGUAUUGGAGCGGCCUUGUAUCUAUCAGCUAGUUGGUGGGGUAAUAGCCUACCAAGGCUACGACGGAUAGGGGGCGUGAGAGCGCGACCCCCCACAAUGGCACUGAGAUACGGGCCAUACAUCUACGGAUGGCAGCAACUGGGAAUCGUUGGCAAUGGGCGAAAGCCUGACCACGCGACGCCGCGUGAAGGAUGAAGGCCCUCGGGUCGUAAACUUCUUUUGCCUCGGCAUGAAGCUGAGGAGAAUAAGCAUCUACAAACUACGUGCCAGCAGUCGCGGUAAUACGUAGGAUGCAAGCGUUAUCCGGAUUCACUGGGCGUAAAGAGUCGUGUAGGUGGUUUGCCGCAUCGUACUUGAAAGCCCGAGGCUUAACCUCGGCGUUGGGUACGAGAUGGGUAGACUUGAGGGAGGUAGAGGAAAGGGGAACUGAUGGUGAAGCAGUGAAAUGCGUUGAUAUCAUCAGGAACACCAAAGGCGAAGGCACCUUUCUGGACCUCUCCUGACACUGAGACACGAAAGCUAGGGGAGCGAAGCAGAUUAGAUACCUGCGUAGUCCUAGCCCUAAACGCAUGUCUGCUAGAUGGUCCGUCGUAAGAGGGACUGUCGUAAGCUAACGCGUUAAGCAGACCGCCU
rnacentral:rRNA from 1 species